UACGGAGGGUGCAAGCGUUAUCCGGAUUUAUUGGGUUAAGGAUGUACGUAGGCGGUGGAGUAAGUCAGUGGUGAAAGCCAACAGCUCAACUGUUGAACUGCCAUUGAUACUGCUUCACUUGAGUGCAGUUGAGGUGGGUGGAAUUCCAUGUGUAACGGUGAAAUGCUUAGAUAUAUGGAGGAACACCGAUAACGAAGGUAACUCACUAAACUGUAACUGACGCUGAGGUACGAAAGCGUGGGGAGCAAACGGG
rnacentral:rRNA from 1 species